UAACGGCGUCGAGCGGCGGACGGGUGAGUAAUGCCUAGGAAAUUGCCUUGAUGUGGGGGAUAACCAUUGGAAACGAUGGCUAAUACCGCAUAAUGCCUACGGGCCAAAGAGGGGGACCUUCGGGCCUCUCGCGUCAAGAUAUGCCUAGGUGGGAUUAGCUAGUUGGUGAGGUAAUGGCUCACCAAGGCGACGAUCCCUAGCUGGUCUGAGAGGAUGAUCAGCCACACUGGAACUGAGACACGGUCCAGACUCCUACGGGAGGCAGCAGUGGGGAAUAUUGCACAAUGGGCGCAAGCCUGAUGCAGCCAUGCCGCGUGUAUGAAGAAGGCCUUCGGGUUGUAAAGUACUUUCAGCAGUGAGGAAGGGGGUGUCGUUAAUAGCGGCAUCUCUUGACGUUAGCUGCAGAAGAAGCACCGGCUAACUCCGUGCCAGCAGCCGCGGUAAUACGGAGGGUGCGAGCGUUAAUCGGAAUUACUGGGCGUAAAGCGCAUGCAGGUGGUUUGUUAAGUCAGAUGUGAAAGCCCGGGGCUCAACCUCGGAACUGCAUUUGAAACUGGCAAACUAGAGUACUGUAGAGGGGGGUAGAAUUUCAGGUGUAGCGGUGAAAUGCGUAGAGAUCUGAAGGAAUACCAGUGGCGAAGGCGGCCCCC
rnacentral:rRNA from 1 species